UUUUUUUUGUGUGGUCGAAGUAGUUAAGUAAGUUAUGAAGAAGACAUUUAAAUUCCUAGCGUCCGUUCCGUGAUGAAAGAACAUCAAAUUUUCUUAAAGGCUAAUACGUCAAAUGAGGACAUGAGUCAUGGCUAAGACGAUCGCGUUGUAUGUGUAUUUCGUUUUUUUGGUCGGUUUAUGUCCGUUCUAAGAAAUUAUUUGUAUUAGUAAUAGAUAUAUAAAAGUGACGAAAGGAACGACCACUACAUAAAGAAAAAUUAGUUAAACCCAUUUAAAUUGUAUUAGUGGUCGUUGACAGAGGGUUUGGUGGUUUAGGCAACCAACCUUUCAUUGUUCUUCUUUUUUUUCUUAUGUUGUUCUUGCUUGGUUAUUAUUGUUAUGUAUUAUUGUGCACCCUUUACACUUACUAGAUUAUCAUGUACUUUUUUUUUGUAACUAGAUUAUCAUGUACUUUGGACCAACAUCUAUUCAUUUUACAUCCAUAAUAUCAGAUAAGAAAAUAUUUGUUUCAAUGUUUUUGUUUUCUCUUUUCUUUUUCUUACGUUCUUUCAUUUAUUAGAUCAUAUUUUGGAUUAAUAUCAGUUUUGCUUCCAUCAUAUGAAAUCUGCGCAAGUCCUAUAUCAGUUCAAUAUCAGUUCAUUGCUUGUUAGUUACCAAUCUUUCAUCAACCUACUUUAUACUAGAACUAGCACAUAAUAUUUCAUAGCCAUAUUUUAUGUAAACAAUAAAACAUAUCACCAUAUCUAGAG
rnacentral:lncRNA from 1 species